rnacentral:rRNA from 1 species
CACUCCUACGGGAGGCAGCAGUGGGGAAUAUUGGACAAUGGGCGCAAGCCUGAUCCAGCCAUGCCGCGUGAGUGAUGAAGGCCCUAGGGUUGUAAAGCUCUUUCACCGGUGAAGAUAAUGACGGUAACCGGUGAAGAAGCCCCGGCUAACUUCGUGCCAGCAGCCGCGGUAAUACGAAGGGGGCUAGCGUUGUUCGGAUUUACUGGGCGUAAAGCGCACGUAGGCGGACUAUUAAGUCAGGGGUGAAAUCCCGGGGCUCAACCCCGGAACUGCCUUUGAUACUGGUAGUCUUGAGUUCGAGAGAGGUGGGUGGAAUUCCGAGUGUAGAGGUGAAAUUCGUAGAUAUUCGGAGGAACACCAGUGGCGAAGGCGGCUCACUGGCUCGAUACUGACGCUGCGGUGCGAAAGCGUGGGGAGCAAACAGGAUUAGAAACCCGAGUAGUCCCAUGA